CGGCGCACGGGUGAGUAACACGUAUCCAACCUGCCGUCUACUCUUGGACAGCCUUCUGAAAGGAAGAUUAAUACAAGAUGGCAUCAUGAGUCCGCAUGUUCACAUGAUUAAAGGUAUUCCGGUAGACGAUGGGGAUGCGUUCCAUUAGAUAGUAGGCGGGGUAACGGCCCACCUAGUCUUCGAUGGGUAGGGGUUCUGAGAGGAAGGUCCCCCACAUUGGAACUGAGACACGGUCCAAACUCCUACGGGAGGCAGCAUG
rnacentral:rRNA from 1 species